rnacentral:misc_RNA from 1 species
UGUGGGAGCGAGCUUGCUCGCGAUAGCGGUGUGUCAGACACCUGUGAUACCGACUGGCACGCCCUCAUCGCGAGCAAGCUCGCUCCCACA